rnacentral:rRNA from 1 species
UGCGGUUAAAAAGCUCGUAGUUGGAUUUCUGUUGAGGAUGACCGGUCCGCUCUUUGAGCGCGUAUCUGGUUCAGCCUUGGCAUCCUCUUGGGGAACGCUACUGUGCUUGAUUGCAUGGGGCGGUAUUCAAGACUUUUACUUUGAGGAAAUUAGAGUGUUCACUGCAAGCGUUAGCAAUUGAAUACAUUAGCAUGGAAUAAUAAUAUAGGACCUUGGUACUAUUUUGUUGGUUUCUAGAACUAAGGUAAUGAUUAAUAGGGACAAUUGGGGGCAUUCGUAUUAACGCGUCAGAGGUGGAAUUCUUAGAUUGCGUUACGACGAACUACUGCGAAAGCAUUUGCCAAGGAUGUUUUCAUUGAUCAAGGACGAAAGUAUGGGGAUCGAAGACGCUUAGAUACCGUCGUAGUCUAUACCAUAAACUAUGCCAACUAGAGAUUGGAGGUCGUUCUCUUUAUGACUCCUUCAGCACCUUAUGAGAAAUCAAAGUCUUUGGGUUCCGGGGGGAGUAUGGUCGCAGGGCUGAAACUUAAAGGAAUUGACGGAAGGGCACCACCAGGAGUGGAGCCUGCGGCUUAAUUUGACUCAACAC